AUUUAAUAUACUUGGUCAUGCUACUUUAUUUUGUUAGCACUAAUCUGUUUCUUCAACAGUUGUGCACAUGGGGAUAUGCCCACAGAACUGUUUUGUUCUGUUUAACGAUGUGUAUAUCCGUUACUAUGGUGAUGGGCACAACACUAACUGGAUAUUGUAAAAUCAGGGGGAGGAGUUUGACUCACGCAUGUGCAGUGAGGAGCAGCACACGCCAGCACCCAGGUGAUGGAGGUUUGGUGAGUUAGUUUUUCUUAUUUAAGUCAAUGUUAUAUGAUAUGCAAUUUGUGUCCUGA